rnacentral:rRNA from 1 species
AUACGGAAGGUCCGGGCGUUAUCCGGAUAUAUUGGGUUUAAAGGGAGCGCAGGCGGAGAUGCAAGCGUGACGUCAAAUUUCGGGGCUCAACCCCGUCUCGCGUCGCGAACUGCGUCCCUUGGUUGCGGGAAGGGGAGGCGGAACUCGUGGUGUAGCGGUGAAAUGCAUAGAUAUCACGAAGAACUCCGAUCGCGAAGGCAGCCUUCCGGCCCGUCAACGACGCUCAUGCUCGAAGGUGCGGGUAUCAAACAGGAUUAGAUACCCUGGUAGUCCGCACAGUAAACGAUGGACACCCGCGGUUUGGCCUGUAUGGCUGAGCCGCCAAGCGAAAGCGUUAAGUGUCCCACCUGGGGAGUACGCCGGCAACGGUGAAACUUAAAGGAAUUGACGGGG